GACAGCAUUCCUGUGGACGUUCACCCUCAUGGGCGGGGCUCGACACGAAAAGCAUCCGUGGAGAUCAAGUUUGAGGUGAAAACAGUCUCAGGGUCCACCUGUCCUCGCUGAUCCGUGGAUUUCUGUGUGACCAGGUUACACCUAUGGAGCC